rnacentral:rRNA from 1 species
CUCUAUCUGAAAUAACAGACAGUACCUCCUGCUCAAUGCAUAAUAAAUAGCCGCAGACCCCUGUGCUAAGGUAGCAUAAUCACUUGCCUCCUAAUUAGAGGAUAGAAUGAAAGGAGCCACGAAUCCCCUAUUAUUCCCCUAAAAUAUAGCAAAACUAAUAUAAAUGUAAAAAAGCAUUUUAAAAAAGAAGGACAAAAAGACCCUAAUGAACUUUUACCUAAGGUUAAGCUGGGAUGGCAACUAAACAAAAACUUCACAAAACACUAAAUAAAGACCCUAAAUAACAGAAAACAGAGCAAGUUACCAUAGGGAUAACAGCGUAAUAUUACUAAAGAGCACAUAUCAAAAGUAAAGAUUACGACCUCGAUGUUGAAUAACGAACCCCAAUUUGAGCAACCCCAAAUAAGGGAGGUCUGUUCGACCUUUAAUACGCUACA